rnacentral:sRNA from 1 species
AGACAUGCGCAGUGUCUUUUCAACUGCUGCAAGCUUACCUACAUUGUUUCCGCAGUCUCAAUCAUCGCACUCGUCAUUUUUG